rnacentral:pre_miRNA from 1 species
AUGAAAGUGUAGCAUGCCCAUUGUGGAAAUACUCUGAUGAAUAUUUGUUAUUUAAAUGCUUUUGGGUAGCGGGUGUUACAAUUUG